AUGAACGCUAGCGAUAGGCUUAACACAUGCAAGUCGAGGGGCAGCACAAGGUAGCUUGCUAUCUGGGUGGCGACCGGCGCACGGGUGCGUAACGCGUAUGCAACUUGCCCUAUACAGGAGGAUAACCCGUCGAAAGACGGACUAAUACUGCGUAUGCUCACAACUUGGCAUCAAGUGGUGAGGAAAGAAAUUCGGUAUAGGAUAGGCAUGCGUCCCAUUAGCUUGUUGGUGAGGUAACGGCUCACCAAGGCAACGAUGGGUAGGGGAACUGAGAGGUUUAUCCCCCACACUGGUACUGAGACACGGACCAGACUCCUACGGGAGGCAGCAGUGAGGAAGAUUGGUCAAUGGGCGCGAGCCUGAACCAGCCAAGUCGCGUGAAGGAUGACUGUCUUAUGGAUUGUAAACUUCUUUUAUACGGGAAUAACAAGAGUCACGUGUGACUCCCUGCAUGUACCGUAUGAAUAAGCACCGGCUAACUCCGUG
rnacentral:rRNA from 1 species